GACGAACGCUGGCGGCGUGCUUAACACAUGCAAGUCGAACGGAAAGGCCCUGCUUGCAGGGUACUCGAGUGGCGAACGGGUGGGUAACACGUGGGUGAUUUGCCCUGCACUUCGGGAUAAGCCUGGGAAACUGGGUCUAAUACCGGACAGGAGCCAUUUUUAGUGUGAUGGUUGGAAAGUUUUUUCGGUGUUGGAUGAGCUCGCGGCCUAUCGGCUUGUUGGUGGGGUAAUGGCUUACCAAGGCGGCGGCGGGUAGCCGGCCUGAGAGGGUGGACGGCCACAUUGAGUCUGAGAGGCGGCACAGACACCGACGGGAGGGAGAAGUGGGAAAUAUUGCACAAUGGGCGCAAGCCUGAUGCAGAGGGGCCGCGGAGCGUAUGACGGCCUUCGUGUUGAAGAAUCCAUGCGCUAGGAACGAAGCUCUUUGUGACGGUACCUAGAUAAAAAGCACCGGCUAACUACGUG
rnacentral:rRNA from 1 species